rnacentral:rRNA from 1 species
CGCGAUUCGCCCUUCGGGGCGCAGCAGGCGCGAAAACUUUACAAUGCCGGCAACGGCGAUAAGGGAACCUCGAGUGCCAGGUUACAAAUCUGGCUGUCGUGAUGUCUAAAAAGCAUUGCAUAGCAAGGGCCGGGCAAGACCGGUGCCAGCCGCCGCGGUAACACCGGCGGCUCGAGUGGUAACCGUUAUUAUUGGGUCUAAAGGGUCUGUAGCCGGCCGGAUAAGUCUCUUGGGAAAUCUGGCAGCUUAACUGUCAGGCUUUCAGGAGAUACUGUCUGGCUCGAGGCCGGGAGAGGUGAGAGGUACUUCAGGGGUAGGGGUGAAAUCUUGUAAUCCUUGAAGGACCACCAGUGGCGAAGGCGUCUCACCAGAACGGACCUGACGGCAAGGGACGAAAGCUAGGGGCACGAACCGGAUUAGAUACCCGGGUAGUCCUAGCCGUAAACGAUACUCGCUAGGUGUCGGCCACGGUGCGACCGUGGUCGGUGCCGUAGGGAAGCCGUGAAGCGAGCCACCUGGGAAGUACGGCCGCAAGGCUGAAACUUAAAGGAAUUGGCGGGGGAGCAC